AGGACGAACGCUGGCGGCGUGCUUAACACAUGCAAGUCGAGCGAGGCCCUAUCUUCGGACAGGUGCCCUAGCGGCGAACGGGUGAGUAACACGUGGGCAACCUGCCCCUAGCACUGGGAUAACUCCGGGAAACCGGGCUAAUACCAGAUAUGACCUCCGAGGGCAUCCUCGUUGGUGUAAAGGAUUCUGGCUAGGGAUGGGCCCGCGGCCUAUCAGCUUGUUGGUGGGGUAACGGCCUACCAAGGCGACGACGGGUA
rnacentral:rRNA from 1 species